rnacentral:rRNA from 1 species
GAUGAACGCUGGCGGCGUGCCUAAUACAUGCAAGUCGAGCGAACAGACGAGGAGCUUGCUUCUCUGACGUUAGCGGCGGACGGGUGAGUAACACGUGGAUAACCUACCUAUAAGACUGGGAUAACUUCGGGAAACCGGAGCUAAUACCGGAUAAUAUAUUGAACCGCAUGGUUCAAUAGUGAAAGACGGUUUUGCUGUCACUUAUAGAUGGAUCCGCGCCGCAUUAGCUAGUUGGUAAGGUAACGGCUUACCAAGGCAACGAUGCGUAGCCGACCUGAGAGGGUGAUCGGCCACACUGGAACUGAGACACGGUCCAGACUCCUACGGGAGGCAGCAGUAGGGAAUCUUCCGCAAUGGGCGAAAGCCUGACGGAGCAACGCCGCGUGAGUGAUGAAGGUCUUCGGAUCGUAAAACUCUGUUAUUAGGGAAGAACAAAUGUGUAAGUAACUAUGCACGUCUGGACGGUACCUAAUCAGAAAGCCACGGCUAACUACGU